rnacentral:rRNA from 1 species
AGAAUCAACGCUGGCGGCGUGCCUAACACAUGCAAGUCGAACGAGAAAGUGGAGCAAUCCAUGAGUACAGUGGCGCACGGGUGAGUAACACGUGACUAACCUACCCUUGAGUGGGGGAUAACCUAGAGAAAUCUGGGCUAAUACCGCAUAAUACCUUCGGGUCAAAGGAGCAAUUCGCUUUAGGAGGGGGUCGCGGCCGAUUAGUUAGUUGGCGGGGUAAUGGCCCACCAAGACUGUGAUCGGUA